UACGAAGGGUGCAAGCGUUACUCGGAAUUACUGGGCGUAAAGGGUGCGUAGGCGGUUGUUUAAGUCUGUCGUGAAAUCCCCGGGCUCAACCUGGGAAUGGCGAUGGAAACUGGGCAGCUAGAGUGUGUCAGAGGAUGGUGGAAUUCCCGGUGUAGCGGUGAAAUGCGUAGAGAUCGGGAGGAACAUCAGUGGCGAAGGCGGUCAUCUGGGACAACACUGACGCUGAAGCACGAAAGCGUGGGGAGCAAACAGG
rnacentral:rRNA from 1 species